rnacentral:rRNA from 1 species
AACGAACGCUGGCGGCAUGCCUAACACAUGCAAGUCGAACGCGUGUAGCGAUACACGAGUGGCGGACGGGUGAGUAACGCGUGGGAACCUGCCCAAUGGUAGGGAAUAACUGCGGGAAACUGCAGCUAAUACCCUAUGCUCCCUACGGGGGAAAGAUUCAUCGCCAUUGGAGGGGCCCGCGUCGGAUUAGCUAGUUGGCGGGGUAAUGGCCCACCAAGGCUACGAUCCGUAGCUGGCUGAGAGGAUGAUCAGCCACACUGGGACUGAGAUACGGCCCAGACUCCUACGGGAGGCAGCAGUGGGGAAUAUUGGACAAUGGGGAAACCCUGAUCCAGCAAUGCCGCGUGAGUGAAGAAGGCCUUAGGGUUGUAAAGCUCUUUCGGCGGGACGAUGGUGACGGUACCGCAGAAGAAG